CUCCCAAGGGAAAAAAAUGCCCCGCAUGAGCAGCCUCCGCUCGCCGGCGGCGGCGCCGCUAGACGACGACGACGACCUUCUCCCAGAGAUCCUCCUCCGCCUCGCCCCGCAGCCCUCCUCCCUUCCCCGCGCCUCCGCCGUAUGCAAGCUCUGGCGCAGCCUCGCUUCUGACCCCGGCCGGCUUCUGCCGCCGCUUCCGCGCGCACCACCGCCGCAACCCUCCCCUCCUCGGCUGCUUCGUCAUGGAUUCUCUCCACGUCCACUUCCAGCCUGCGCUGGAUCCACCCAGUAGAAUCUCGCAAGGCCAGUUCUCCUUCCCAAUCGCUGCCGGCAAGCGCUUCCUGCUCCUCGGAUGCCGCCAUGGCCUCGUACUCAUCUUGGACGGCCCUAUUAGUAAGCAGCGGAAGCUCGUGGUGUGGGACCCCGUCACCGGUGACCAGCACCACCUAGGCAUUCCCCCAGGGUUCAACACGGUAACUUCCUAUGUUGGUGCGGCGGUGCUUCGUGCUCCCGGAGACAUCCACCAUUUCCAGGUGGUCUUGGUAGGCAACAGCACCAUACAAGAUAUACACAAGCCGUCGCCUCUGUUUACUCGUCGGCGACUGGUGUAUGGGACAAUCUCAUUUCAACACCACUUCCGUUCGAGGAUUCUAACGGGUUUCCAUCCAGGAUUUUCUUGAGCAUGCCUGCUGUGAUGGUUGGGGGUUCCUUUUAUUGGUUGAUUUCUGGGGAUUCUCAAGGAAUUCUUGAGUUUGAUUUGGACAGGCGGAGCCUAUCUUGGAUACCCAUGCCAGUGGAACACAAUGGUGGCAUGGGCAAUGGCAAUAUUUGGGUUAUGCUGGCAGAGGGUGGUGGCCUUGGUUUACUCUUCCUCAGAGGCUUUUGCGCUCAAUUAUGGAAGCAAAAGGCCGAUUGCAAGGGUGUUGCUUCAUGGGUGCUGGGAAGAAGUAUUGAUCUGGACACGGUACUUUCUUUGAAUUCAGAGGUUGAGAGAAUGUACCCAUUGGUAGUAGGGUUUGCGGAGGAUAAUAAUGUGGUGUUAUUGUGGACAUAUAUCGGUGUCUUCAUGAUUCAGUUUGAACCAUUGCAAUUCAAGAAACUUUUUGAAUCCAAAGCCUGGUAUCGUUAUUAUCCAUUCGAAGGAGUCUAUACUGCAGACACAGGCAUUGGUGGUGCACAUGAUGGAGCUAAACUUUUGAGCAAUACAUAAUAUGAUUUCUCCGGAUAGACAUGCUAAUGUGAUGUAUUGAUUGAGCAGGUAUCAAGAGGUACUUUUUGGUGCCUGAGAUCAACAAAUGGAUUAUCUGCUGUAGGUUUCUCCAUUCUGUAUGAUGUGCAUGGGGCCUGUGAUGUGCUCCACAAGGACAUUGACCGUCUGUGUGUCAUGCCCUGGUGAAUGUUAUGUGGACUAGUAGGGAUUAACAUGUCCUGUUCAACUGUAACUGGGAUUUAAUCUUCUACGCCAUGAACUUGUCCCCAUUAUCUGAUAUCUGCACAUCAUUCCAACUGGCGUGGAGAUUAACUAACUUGUUUCUGUUAAUGCAUUAGCAUUGUCCCUGUUCGUCAGUUAAACUUGCAGUUCAUUUGCUCCAUGCCGUCAAAACAAUCUUGAGUUGAUCUUGCUCAUAUUUUGUGUUCGCGCAUAUCAUACCGGUAUCUUCUGCGCGCGUCUGCUAAAGGCGUUUCAUUUGUUUUUGUGUGUGCUGAACUUCGUAUCUUGAAACAGAUAGAGUUGCUGCUGG